rnacentral:lncRNA from 1 species
UCUUCAAGAACAAGUGUAUCGAUGAGGUUACUUGGGAGGUUUCCUCAACCUCCUUAUUGCAUAGCUAAUUGGUUUAACUUAUCAAGAAAACUCUUACGGUGUUUUAAUCGAUUCUUUUUUAUCCCAACUACCUUAAUUUCAAUUACAAGUUGAUUAUGAGUUAAAUAUUGAGAGUUUAUUUUAUAUUAAGUUUCUAUGUUAACUAUGCAUGUGUAUAUUCAU